CGGAUUUCACCGGCGAUUUCACUAGAUCGACGGAUUUUACCGACGAUUUCACCGAUGAUUUCACUUCUCAGGUACCGUCUUUUUAACCUUAUCGGCAUUUUUUGUGUGUUAUUUGACUUAGAUCUGUGAAAUUUUAGGGUUUCUUUCUCUGGCGAUUCCGACAUCAGAUCUACUGGGUUCAACUUCUCAAUCUGUUAUAAUACUUUCCUACUAAAUCGCAUGAUGAUGGCAGCGGCGAGUUCUAGGGUUUCGGCGGCUACAUGCCAUUAGGAGGAUAACAAAGGAGAAAAAUGCUCUUGCCGAAAGACUACGGAAUGCUAAAGCUGAAAGGAAAAGAUUUGAUGAUGAACUGAAAUGUUAUGCAACAGAGAAUGUGAAGUUCAAAAAAAUGAGGAUCCUUCACAACUUCACUAGAGGAGAUAGUUGCAGCCUCUAGAACAGCAUCUGAAGCUACGGUCAAAGUUGCAAUGGCUGCAGCUCUGAAGAAGGCAGUAAUAAAGUAUAGAAGAAACUACAUCUUCAAUUUUAGUUGUCGUGGACUCUGGUUGUGGUUAAUUGUCAUCAGUGGAUUGUUUUGCUAGGUACUGUUAGUUUCUUAUAUCUUUGUAUUUGUAAUG